AUGCAGAUCAGUGUCCUUGAACCUGCAUGCUUUGACAACUUAUCCAGCUCCCUGCUGGUUCUGAAGCUAAACAGGAACAGAAUAACACUGCUACCAUACAAAGUGUUCAGGCUUCCCCAGCUGCAGUUCCUGGAAUUAAAGCGUAACAAGAUCAAGUUGGUGGACAGCCUGACCUUCAAAGGGAUGGACUUACUGAAAUCACUGAAGAUGCAGCGGAAUGGCAUCACAAAGCUGAUGGACGGUGCUUUCUUUGGGUUCAACAACAUGGAGGUGCUAGAGCUAGAGCACAACAAUUUGACGGAGGUCAACAAAGGCUGGCUGUAUGGCCUACACAUGCUGCAUGUUCUGCGGGUCAACCAGAACACCAUCGGCAUCAUCCGACCAGACGCCUGGGAGUUCUGCCAAAAGCUGGAGGAGCUCGAUCUGUCCUUCAACCACCUCACCCGGUUGGAGGAGACCGUGUUCAUUGGACUGGGCCUUCUGGAGAACCUGAACCUAGGAGAGAAUACCAUCAGCCACCUGGGAGAGGGAGUUUUCAGCAGUCUGGCCAAUCUGCGCUCACUAGACAUACGGAAUAAUGAGAUCUCUUGGGCCAUUGAGGAUUCCAUUGGUGUGUUUGUUGGAAUGAAGAAGCUGAACACAUUGAUUCUACAGCAGAACAAUAUUAAAUCUAUCACAAAAGAAGCCUUUGAGAGUCUGGAGAAACUAGAGCACUUGGACCUGAGCAAGAAUGGGAUCAUGUCCAUCCACCUUGAUUCGUUGUCUCACAUGAACUUAAGUAGUAAUUUUCUGAAUACUAGCAGCCUGCUGUGUGACUGCCAACUGCAGUGGCUGGGCCCAUGGUUGACUGACAACCGCUUCCUGCAGUCUGUCUCCUAUGUGUGCUCACCCUGCCAGCCUGCUGGGCCGUAACGUCCUGUCUGUCAGCCUGGAGGAGCUGGUCUGUGAUGACUUCCCAAAGCCCCGGAUCACAGACCACCCUGAGACUGCCACCGCCCUGCGUGGGACCAAUGUGACUGAGCUGCCUGGCAUCCAGCAGCAGUGACUCCCCCAUGGCCAUGGCCUGAAGGAAGGACUGGGAGGUGCUGUACGAUGCAGAGGUGCAGAAUUGCACCCGCUACCAGGAGGGAAAGCUGUUCUACACCACCGUGCUGUAUCUCCUCAACGUCAACUUCACAGACGAGGGAUGCUACCAGUGUGUUGUCUCAAACCACUUUGGCUCUAACUACUCUAACAGGGCAAGCUCACAGUCAAUGAGCUGCCGUCCUUUCUGAAGACUCCGAUGCACCUGACCAUCCCACGGGCACCAUGGCCAGGCUGGAGUGUGCUGCCGAGGGUCACCCAUCACCCCAGAUCGCUUGGCAGAAAGACGGGGGCACAGACUUCCCUGCUGCCCGAUGACAUCUUCUUCACUGCCAAUGUAAAGACAGAGGAUAUGGGAGUGUACAGCUGCACAGCCCAGAAUGCUGCAGGGAGCAUGUCUGCCAACGCUACACUCACUGUGCUAGAAACAUCGUCCUUCAUGCGUCCCCUGGAGGACAGGACGGUAGCUUGUGGGGAGACGGCAGUGCUCUAGUGUAUCGCAGGCGGAAGCCCAGCACCCCGCCUCAACUGGACCAAGGAUGACGGGCCCCUGGUCCUCACCGAGCGACACUUCUUUGCCGCCACCAACCAGCUCCUCAUCAUCGUGGACACAGGGAAGUACACGUGCAUCAUGUCCAACACGCUGGGCACGGAGCGUGGCCACAUCUACCUCAGCGUGUCUCCCAACUGCGACACUGCGGGCGGCUACGACUGGGAUAGCUGGAACACGGUGGGCAUCGUGGUGGUCUGCUGCGUGGUGGGCACCUUGCUGGUCUGGGUCAUCGUCAUCUACCACAUGCGAAGGAAGAGCGAGGACUACAGCAUCACCAACUCAGACGAGAUGAAGCUGCCGGUAGACAUCCCCAGCUACCUGUCCUCUCAGGGAACGCUGUCUGAGCCUCAGGAGGGAUACAGCAACUCUGAAGCAGGGAGCCACCAGCAGCUCAUGCCACCACUGUCCAACGGCUACGUCCACAAGGGAACUGGCUACGUCCACAAGGGAACUGGCUACGUCCACAAGGGAACUGGCUACGUCCACAAGGGAACUGGCUACGUCCACAAGGGAACUGAUGGUGUGUGCUACAGUGACACAGGCAGUGAGGUGGACACCGAGGCCAACGGGAUGCUGCACUGCCGUGUGGGCUCUCUGUUCAUGGGACAAAGCAUCUUCCAUCCUUGGCAUCCCCGUGAGGGACUAGCUGUGGUGUCGACAGGUGGUGCAGGGCCGCUGGUCAUCUGCUCGGACUGCGACGACAACAUUAACAUGUACUCUCGGACCCGGGAGUACUACGCCUACCUGGCCGAGGAUGACCCCCUGGACAAGGGUCUCUCUGGCAUCAUGGCCCAACUUCCCAAGGAGCCCUAUGGGGAGCAGAGAGGCCAGCAUGAGGACACAGCCCUGGAGAGCCUCAUCAACAACCAGGACUCUUCAGUCUUCCUCACCAGCCACAACUCCUCAGUCUUCCUCACCAAGAGGCUGAGCAAAGCCCUCUGGCCCCCGGAACAACACUAUAGCACCGUCUCUGCAGAUGUCCCCCCCAGGUCGUUUUGGGGCAAAAGGGAGGACUUGUCUACAGUGCCACGACCAGGUCUGUCACAGCAGCCAGUGACUGUGCACACAACUCCCUAUGCAGGGAGGGGAGGAGUGUGGAGGUGGAGCUCUCUCUUCCUCAGAGCACACAGUACCACAGAAGUGCCUCUUAUAGGACUAUGUCUCAGGAGCACAUCCAAGCCCCCACAUAAAGCUCUGCCAAACCACUCUGCCAAAAAUGCUUUCUUGUAUAUUUAGAUUAUUUCAGUCACGCAGAGACUAUUUGCUACUAUGAUUUUGAAAAUAUAUCUAGGGCUUGAGAACUGAAAAGGUGAAUGACGCCCCCUGAUUACCCCCCCCCCCCCCCCCCCCCCCCUUCCUCCCUCUCAUUCUAGAGGAAGCUAUGAAUGUUUGUGUCAAAGAGCCAUGUUGGAUGCUGCCUUUUUGAGUUUUAAGAUGUCACACAUUUGAACGUGCUCUCAUGACGUACUGUCUGGAAGGUGGAAUGGCAGCAGUGUUGAUGGAUGCCCCAGUUAUUCUGCUUUCUGCUUGCAGAUGCCACAUUUUUGGUACAGUCUUGUUGGAGCAGCCUUAGUGAUUUAAGUUACAAGUCCAGGACAUAGCUUCCUCUCGUCCAGGACUAGAGGGGUCAAAGAGACCCCAGUUGUUUCUUGUUCAGCAGUGAGUGGUACAUAGCUAUAGGAUCACUGAAUGAAUCCCCCCCUCUAGCCAUCCGUAUUGACUGUAAUCGUCUACUAUUAUGCAAACCCAGAGACAAUGACACUAGAUGUGUGUUAGAUAUAAUUUUCACCUAUUAUCUAUGUCUCUUAAGCUAAGAUUGUUUUGCCUUGGGUCAAAGAGGCAGUUGUUCCGAUAGUUACUCAUGUUUUUUUUGUAUGAAAACACUAUCGAAGCAAAGAAAAUAUUGGGUAUUGCACAUUAUUUUGAUAAUCAUGGUUCAGGUGGCCUCUAAUGGUUUUCAACAGGCAUUCUCAGUAACCCUCCAUCGGGUAACCCUAUGGUUUCUAAUCACUUAUAUGCACUGAUCAUUUCCUCUCAAAAGCUUAUUUUACAGGCACUUACCUCAUACGUGGUGUGUUUUAUUAUGCAGUGUGUAUGCCAUUUUAGAUUCCUAAUGGAUAAUAUAUGCCUUUACCCCCAAUUUCAUCAAUACAGGCCAGAUUUAACCUUGGUACUGUGAAGAAUGUAUUGUAUGGAUUUAAACGUUUAUGUCUAUUCAUAACUACAUCCCUCAAACCCUAAGAAGGUAGUUGGAAUUAUUUUUGUCCUAACCUGCCGUAAGUUAGAUGUUGUUUUUUGUGUGUAUGUCAGAAUUUUUGUAGUCACUCCAGGGUGAUUCCUAACUUGAGAUGGUAGAUUUCCUCAACAUUGUGGAAAGCAUGUAGAUCUCAAGUCAGGAUUUGGCCCAAAAUGUUGGUACAAAUUUCAUCUAGCUAAAACCAAGAUGUUUAAGGGUUGUCUUUCAUUUAAAUCACACCUGUUUCCUUUGUUCAAAUAAAAUAAUCAUUUUGGCAAUGGAACAUAGAUACUUCAGAAUAAGAUGUAGAUGUGUGAAGGCUAUACAAACAAAGAUACUACAUGAAGAUUGCCCUGACAGGUUUGGUUGAAUCCGUCCUUUAGUCAUUAUUUUUUCACAUUUUUUAAAUCUCACAAUUAUUGCACUUCCGAUUCAGCCAAACAUGAUUGCAUUUCUUCUCUCUCGUGUACACUUUCACUUUUACGUGCAUGUCAACUACUAUGCUUUUAUUCCUGCCUCUACCAUAUUGACAGUUAUACAUUUCCAUGUAGGAUUGUUUCUUAGUUACACAAUGCAUUCAUGCUAAAAUUGUAUCUUUUUGAUAAGACAUUCCGUGUGACUUUUUGCUUGAUAAUGCAUCUGGUACAUUUUCAUAUUUUGAGUUUGAUCAAAAAGGACUCAUUUUGUCAAUGUUGCAGUUGGUCUCAAACUGUUAUUUUUCUCUGUGGUACGUGACUUAACAAAUUUGCACAUGAUUCUUGUACACAAUUGAUUUUUGUUGUGGCUUCUUUUCAAAAGUCCAUGGUUUUGAAGUUCUAUAAACCAGGUCAUCCCUUGUAUACCAAAAUAAAUCAUUCCAACCCCAUGCCACUGGAUUCAAUAUUGGCAUGAAUAGAGCUAAUACACAGAUGACAUUUUCUGCUCGAUAAUUAAAGCAUUUCAAUUCAAGGUAGUAAUUGUUGCCGAUAGCUUAAUCACUUUUAAUUUUAUUUGUAUAUUUUUUUUGCGCACUCCAUGUAUCCGGUAGAAACAGUUCUCUAAUCUGAGUCCAUAGUGGGUUUGCUCUACUGAAUGUUGGAUUUUAUAUUGAACAAAAAUAUAAAAGCAACAUGCAACAAUUUCAAUGAUUUUACUAGGUAACAGUUCAUAGAAGGAAAUGAGUCAAUUUAAAUAAGUUAUCUAGGCCCUAAUUGAAGAAUCUCACAUGACUGGGCAGGGGUGCAGCUAUGGGUGGGCCUGUGAGAGCAUAAGCCCACCCACUGGGGAGCCAGGCCCAGCCAAUCAGCCAGAUAUGGAGGUCCUGGGCUGGCAUGGUUACACAUGGUCUGCGGUUGUGUGGCCGGUUGAAAGUACUGCUAAAUUCCCUAAAGUGACAUUGGAGGCAUCUUAUGCUUUAGACAUUAUCUGGCAACUGCUCUGUUGGACAUUCCUGUAGUCAACAUGCCAAUUGCACACUCCCUCAUUGAGACAUCUGUGGCAUUGUGUUGUGAGAAAACUGAACAUUUUAGUGGCCUUUUAUUGUCCCCAGCACAAGGUGCACCUACGUAAUCAUGCUAUUUAUUCAGCUUCUUGACCUGCCACACCUGUCAAGUGGAUAGAUUAUCUUGGCAAAGAAUAAAUGCUCACUAACCGGGAUGUAAACAAAUUUGUGCACAGAAUGAGAGAAAUAUGCUUUUUGUGCAUUUGGGAAAUUUCGGGGAACUUCUAUUUCAGCCCAUGAAACAUAACACUUUACAUGUUGUGGUUAUUUUUGUUUAGUGUGUAUAUAUGGAUUUGUAUAGUAACUGUUUUUUUUCCUAAUGGGAGCUCAACUAUGUCCACAUGACAUGCAUUUGUGUUUAAAGCAAACUUCUUUUUUUUUUCCCUCCCAUCUUUAUCUUUGCUUUGUAUUGCUGACUCUUGUUUUUUUUCUUCUCUUUAUACCGAAGUUCAUCAGUAAUGCUCUAACAAUAUUUAAAAUGCUGCUUGUUUUCUUUAUCAAAGUUUUUAUCUUGACUAGUUGUAUAUUCUGUAAACAAAAAAACAAACAUUUUUGUUUCUUGAUAUGUAGCUAUCAUUAAAACGAUCACAAAUGUGAUCAUUCUGGCCA